AGAAAGACCUGCUGACCACUGGAGACCUCAGUCUGACCCUGAAAGACCCCAAAGUGGGAGACAGUGGGAAAUACGGCUGUCAGGUCAACAGCAAGGAGGCCUGGAGAUAUAAGAGGUUGUGGCUCACAGUCACAGGGAAUAAUCAGGCCAAGAAACACACAGAAGACACCAGGAUCAGCUCCACUGAUCAUUUAGUUUGAUAUGAUUGUUCGAUUAUUGAUCUGACCUGUACGAUUUAUACAUUAGUCUAUAUAAAAUGUACACAAGAAUUCAUGAAAUAAAUCCAUUUUUCUCUGCUUACCCAAUUCAGA